GACCUCCACUCCAAGGGGCAAGAAGUCCCAGGAGAAGAGCAAAACCUCCGUCCCCAGCGGCAAGACUACCCUCCAGAGGAGCAGGACAUCAUUCACCCGGGGCAAGGAUACCAUCCUGAGAAGCAAAACCACCAUCACAAGGGGCAAGUCCAGUGUUUUAAGGAAAAAAACUGUAGUCAACAGGGGCAAGACCUCUUUCUCUAUGAGCAAAACCACCAUCAGCAGGGCCAAUACUUCUUUUGUACUGAGCAAAAGCACAGUUGGAAGAGGAAAGAUCACAGUAUCGGUGCGCAACGUCACCAUCACAAGGGGAACGACCGCCAUCUCGGUCGGCAUAAACAUCAUCACCAGAGGCAGUAACACUCAAUGGCGCAUAUACUGGGAGUUUCAUUCGUAAUUUAAGAAGGGGUUUGAUUGGCUGAUUGGACCCUCUACUGGCUACAUAACACACCAAGAAACAGCUUCUCUCCCUACAGCUGGCACAGUCUGUGGGAUCAGCUGGGUUUGUCCAUGUUGUCUACGGCUGUUGGCUGGUUACCAAAACACAACAGCAGAGUUACUGCCCCUGCACCGAAGUCCGCCCUACUAGGGACAGAUGUACUAUUUUCGUUUUGUUUUUGUUUUUUUUUUGUUGGAGAGUCGCCAUUAUAACUACGGGCAGAUAAACAAGAUGUUUCUCCAACACGACCCACAGGGCGUCGCCAGAGAGAUGGACUCAGGACAAGAUAAAGAGCAGAAUAUGCAGUUGGGGUGGACAGCACUCACACCCCGAGACAGUUGGACAUCACAGAGGACCAAGGACGCAUAAUCCUGGAUCACGUGGGGAAGAAAAAGCCGAAUGAGAGGGUGCACAUUCUCAGUAGGUUUCCCCUGGAGUAUAAAGUGAAGCAGUGUUUUUGUGAUAAUGUACGUUUGUGACGGAGGAUGAUGGAGUAACAGGAGGGCCAGAGUGUUUAUAGGUGUUUAUAGUUUAUAGGUGGUGUUACUGAAAAAGCAAACCAGACUUGGGUUGCUCAUGUGAUUUAGGGACAAGGUUUCACAGGAUGUUGAUCGAAAGAUUUGGUAAUGUUGUAUUUAAGUAUUUAAGAAACGUAGUAGGUGAUCCAAAUUAACAGAGAUAAAACUGACAUAAACAGGUCUGAGAGUAGCCUGGUUGGACAGACCAGGUUUAGGUGAUUUUAACUAAUCAGUGAAAUCUUUAAUCUGCCAAAAUUUGAAAUCUGCAACAGGUUAGUCGUUAUCGGAUUUGAUAGUACUUUAAAACACCAGAAAAAAAAAAAUAAUAAUAUAUGAUCCCAUCAACAAUACUGGCAGAAAAUGUAUGUUUUGCCGCAAAAUUUCUGCCUUAUUCACUAGACUGCCUUCCACCAUCUAAACUGCUGUUCAGGUAGAAUUUAACUCUGUAGCAGUCAGAUAUUCCCUAUAUAUGGAGAUAAUGAGGUCAGGAUGAAGACUAAUGGAUUCAUCUACUCUGGUGAUCUAUUGUGAAACCUGAGUCAUAGUUCUGUCGGUAACGCCAGUACGGGAUUCUGGGAUAUGCCCUGCCCUCCGAUUCAGAUAAAAAUGAGCAAUUCCAUUGUCCACAAAGUUCUUUAACAGGUUUGCAAAUACUUUGUGUUAAAACCCAAAAAAAUAGGACUGAGUGCAAAAUGUGGCCCUGGAUUCCAGUCAAAGCUUUAUUAUUUGUUAAAUGACAAAACUGGUGUUGAAAACCCUAUUACAAGUCUCCUUAUUUUCUGUUCACAGUAUGUAAUGAAACCUUGUAUAUAUAGCCCUUGUCAGGGUGAUUUUCCUUAUAGAUUUUCCUUAUAGAUUCAAUGCUCUGGUCCCAAAGAGAGACAAACACUCCAGCGCUGCUCCCAAGAGAAAGCUUGAGAGGACCCAUUAUAGCACUUGUCAACACAAAGACACUGCUGAUGUUGGUCUUAGAGACAAUUCCUGGGGACUCAGCCAUUAUUUAGGAGAUAAAUCACAGCCAUUGAACACCAAUGGAACAGUCACUUGUAACAGAUGAUACAUUAGCAUUCAAUGGAGCUUAAAAAGCAUAGUAGGGGUCCUCAAAGAACCUUAAAGAAGAGGUUCCAGAAUGCCAGGUACACACAAAGAAGGGGAUUAGUGCUUUCUUCACUUGUAGUUCUUGGAGAAACAGCUCAAGUUAUGAACUUAUGUAGUCUUGAGCUCCUUUGUGGAGUUUGAAUACCGCAGGAUGAACUUGACUCCACCCUUGUCAUUCGUCAGACUCAGCUAAAUAAGCAUCUCCACAUGCUUCCACGUGACCAAGGGUGAAUCUCAGUAUCAAAAAGGCAAAGACCGUACUUGUGGUCUUAGCAAGACCAGUCUUGCGAACUUGCCAUCUAAGAACAAACUAGGGGUGCAAUUAAUCAUGGGAUUGGUCUUCGGUGACGAUGCAACCGACGUAUCCCUGAUAUUUUGGGCAAGAACGACAUCCAGGGGUUUUUGCCGUCCUCUGUACAGCAGGCAUUUCGGUUCUACUGGAAUUGGUCUUUGGCGAUGGAAGAUGACAUAAAAUGGGUACACGAGAACACAAUUACGGCCAAGUACGUACAUUGAGAUUCACCCCAAAUGUGGAGCUUCACAUGGUGGUGAGUACUGCAGACUUAAAGAGUGGUUUUUCCUCAAAGAGCCAUGAGUUUACAGCCAAAGCCUAUGACAGCAUUACCUUGGAAACGUCACAAGAGUUCAAAGAAUGUUAAUGACCUUCCAUUCCCCAUUCCAAAGUGAAGAAAUGGUCAAUCACAGUUCAUAAAGAAAUGCUAGCGAUCUGUAAGCUGCUGGCCUCUGACUCUGCAGGGGCCCAUUAUUCGUUAGGAUACAUUUGCCCUUGAGGGUCAUUGCUUUGGAGAUACGCGCGUUGUCUGGCAUUGAGAUCGAUGCUCUUAGAGUGCCAGUUCCAAAAAAGUAUCCAAAAAACGGUUCGUCGUUAAUUUAAGGACAACAAAACCAAACUUAUUCAAGCAUUCUUAGAAAUACGACAUUAAUUCUGGAGGAAACUUCGGUGUACAGAUAUGGUGCUGGUAUUGGCAAGCUGAACAUUUUAUUGAUGUACUAAAAUGCACACACUUUGCAACAACAGAGUACAUUUUGAUGAUGUCAGCAUGCAUGUAGCAUAGAACCCCAGUGAGGGUUUACCUAACUCUACAAACUAACUUGUGAUGCUCUAACAUUUCUGCUACUUCUCGGGUGAGGUGUGUUGACAUCAGAAUAAAUAUAACGCAAAACUAGCCUAGCGUUGUUUGCAGCCCCCACUCUGAUGCCCCCUAGUGGAUUAGUGUCAGUCAUUGAUGGAUGGAGCUGGUAAUAUUAACUGGAGAUUCCUAUACAGUAACACAUAAAAUCAACUGACAUUGGCAGUAUACAAAUUCAGUGUACAAAUGUCACCUGUAUAAUAAGGUUUGAGAUGUUCUUUUGUACAAACUUGUACAACUGCCUUCAUACUAGCUCCUACACUUCCCUUGAUUUUGUAAUUUCCUUAAAUAACCAAAAUGCUUUAUGUAUUAUUAUUAUUAUUAUUAUUAUUAUUAUUAUUAUUCAAGUCCAUUCCUAGAAUCAGAUUUGAGGACUUGUGUGAUAUGUCUGCAUGUCUUUCUAACUGAUCAAUCUGGUUUGUAUCGUCAGUCGGAGGUUGUGAGUCUGGUUCUGUAAUAAACUUGAUUUUAUAAGA